rnacentral:rRNA from 1 species
CCUACGGGAGGCUGCAGUGAGGAAUAUUGGUCAAUGGGCUUACGCCUGAACCAGCCAAGUCGCGUGAGGGAAGACUGCCCUAUGGGUUGUAAACCUCUUUUGUCAGGGAGCAACGCCGGCUACGUGUAGCCGGACUGAGAGUACCUGAAGAAAAAGCAUCGGCUAACUCCGUGCCAGCAGCCGCGGUAAUACGCGGGAUGCCAGCGUUAUCCGGAUUUAUUGGGGUUAAGGGGUGCGUAGGCGGAAUGCCAAGUCAGCGGUAAAAUCGCGGGGCUCAACCUCGCUCCGCCGUUGAAACUGGCGUUCUUGAGUGGGCGAGAAGUAUGCGGAAUGCGUGGUGUAGCGGUGAAAUGCAUAGAUAUCACGCAGAACACCGAUGGCGAAGGCGGCAUACCGGCGCCCAACUGACGCUGAGGCACGAAAGCGUGGGUAGCGAACAGGAUUAGAUACCCUUGUAGUC